AACCGGAUUAGAUACCCUGGUAGUCCACGCCCUAAACGAUGUCUACUAGUUGUCGGGUUUUAAUUAACUUGGUAACGCAGCUAACGCGUGAAGUAGACCGCCUGGGGAGUACGGUCGCAAGAUUAAAACUCAAAGGAAUUGACGGGGACCCGCACAAGCGGUGGAUGAUGUGGAUUAAUUCGAUGCAACGCGAAAAACCUUACCUACCCUUGACAUGUACGGAAGACCGAAGAGAUUUGGUUGUGCUCGAAAGAGAACCGUAACACAGGUGCUGCAUGGCUGUCGUCAGCUCGUGUCGUGAGAUGUUGGGUUAAGUCCCGCAGCGAGCGCAACCCUUGUCAUUAGUUGCUACAUUUAGUUGAGCACUCUAAUGAGACUGCCGGUGACAAACCGGAGGAAGGUGGGGAUGACGUCAAGUCCUCAUGGCCCUUAUGGGUAGGGCUUCACACGUCAUACAAUGGUACAUACAGAGGGCCGCCAACCCGCGAGGGGGAGCUAAUCCCAGAAAGUGUAUCGUAGUCCGGAUCGCA
rnacentral:rRNA from 1 species